rnacentral:rRNA from 1 species
CACGUAGAAGACAAGUGUUAUUCAUCUUUAAUCGGUAUAUAGGGUACCUAGACAGAAUACCAAGCCAUAAAAAGGAACUAGUAUUCUAGAGUUUUAUAUGGGAAUAUGCGAAUUACUAGAGGAAAGAUAAAAUUUUAUUAUACUAGUAGGACGGGUAACGGCAAAGGCGAUGUUCUAUGUAAAACUGACGUUGAGGGACGAAAGCCUUGGGGAGCGAUAAGG